rnacentral:rRNA from 1 species
GAUGAACGCUAGCUACAGGCUUAACACAUGCAAGUCGAGGGGUAACGAGAGGAAAGCUUGCUUUCCUUGUCGACGACCGGCGCACGGGUGAGUAACGCGUAUCCAACCUGCCCCCAACUAGGGAAUAACCUUGCGAAAGUAAGACUAAUACCCUAUAAUUUCCUCAGAUGUCAUCUGACGAGGAAUAAAGAUUUAUCGGUUGUGGAUGGGGAUGCGUCUGAUUAGCUUGUUGGCGGGGUAACGGCCCACCAAGGCAACGAUCAGGAGGGGUUUUGGGAGGAAGGUCCCCCACAUUGAAACUGAGACACGGUCCAAACUCCUACGGGAGGCAGCAGUGAGGAAUAUUGGUCAAUGGGCGGAAGCCUGAACCAGCCAAGUAGCGUGCAGGAUGACGGCCCUAUGGGUUGUAAACUGCUUUUAUACAGGAAUAAAGUUAGCCACGUGUGGUUAUUUGUAGGUACUGUAUGAAUAAGGACCGGCUAAUUCCGUGCCAGCCGCCGCCGUAA